UAGCUUGUGUCCUUUUACCUCACACACACACACACUGGAAAAUUCAAAAACUUUUAGCCAUUUAUGUUCAAACUGAAGUCCGAAAGAUGGAGAGACUCAAGAAGGAGAGAUGGAGAGACAUUUCUGAAUGGAAGUGACAUCAUUUUGGAGGGAAAACAACAGUGCAGUGCAAACAUUAAUGAACGAAAGUCUUACGGUUUUGGAAUGACAUGAGGCUCAGGAUAGUCACUGGUGGGACUGUUUUUGUUCAUAUGGUGCCAUCAACCAAUCAGCACUGUGUAUGAAAGAUGACAGAGUGCAGAUCGUGGAUUGUGAAGGAUGAAUGCAGCAGCCGAGGUACUGAAAUUGACAUUUUAAAAAAGCCAACAGAUAUCUUUCUCCUGGUAUUACAGACCUCCUUGUACAAACUGGUUGGCUAUAUACUUGUAUAUACAGGUUUGAUACCUCAUAUACUUUAUAUAAAAACUUGUCCAACACGUUAAAAGUGUGAUGUAACAAACCUCCGUCCUCAAGGGGGCGAUAGAGGUACCUUCAGAUGUCUGUGCAGUUAAACUGGAUGUGUUGUGGCAGAUCAUUUCAAGAAAAUAAAAAGAUAAUGUUCAAA